GGGUUGUGAGGUUAAGCGACUAAGCGUACACGGUGGAUGCCCUGGCAGUCAGAGGCGAUGAAGGACGUGCUAAUCUGCGAAAAGCGCCGGCGAGGUGAUAUGAACCUUUGACCCGGCGAUGUCCGAAUGGGGAAACCCAGUGCAAUUCGUUGCACUAUCGUUAACUGAAUACAUAGGUUAACGAGGCGAACCGGGGGAACUGAAACAUCUAAGUACCCCGAGGAAAAGAAAUCAACCGAGAUUCCCCCAGUAGCGGCGAGCGAACGGGGAGCAGCCCAGAGUCUGAAUCAGCUUGUGUGUUAGUGGAAGCGUCUGGAAAGUCGCACGGUACAGGGUGACAGUCCCGUACACGAAAGCACACAGGCUGUGAACUCGAAGAGUAGGGCGGGACACGUGGUAUCCUGUCUGAAUAUGGGGGGACCAUCCUCCAAGGCUAAAUACUCCUGACUGACCGAUAGUGAACCAGUACCGUGAGGGAAAGGCGAAAAGAACCCCGGCGAGGGGAGUGAAAAAGAACCUGAAACCGUGUACGUACAAGCAGUGGGAGCACCUUCGUGGUGUGACUGCGUACCUUUUGUAUAAUGGGUCAGCGACUUAUAUUCUGUAGCAAGGUUAACCGUAUAGGGGAGCCGAAGGGAAACCGAGUCUUAACUGGGCGUUAAGUUGCAGGGUAUAGACCCGAAACCCGGUGAUCUAGCCAUGGGCAGGUUGAAGGUUGGGUAACACUAACUGGAGGACCGAACCGACUAAUGUUGAAAAAUUAGCGGAUGACUUGUGGCUGGGGGUGAAAGGCCAAUCAAACCGGGAGAUAGCUGGUUCUCCCCGAAAGCUAUUUAGGUAGCGCCUCGUGAAUUCAUCUUCGGGGGUAGAGCACUGUUUCGGCUAGGGGGCCAUCCCGGCUUACCAACCCGAUGCAAACUACGAAUACCGAAGAAUGUUAUCACGGGAGACACACGGCGGGUGCUAACGUCCGUCGUGAAGAGGGAAACAACCCAGACCGCCAGCUAAGGUCCCAAAGUCAUGGUUAAGUGGGAAACGAUGUGGGAAGGCACAGACAGCCAGGAUGUUGGCUUAGAAGCAGCCAUCAUUUAAAGAAAGCGUAAUAGCUCACUGGUCGAGUCGGCCUGCGCGGAAGAUGUAACGGGGCUAAACCAUGCACCGAAGCUGCGGCAGCGACGCUUAUGCGUUGUUGGGUAGGGGAGCGUUCUGUAAGCCGUUGAAGGUGGCCUGUGAGGGUUGCUGGAGGUAUCAGAAGUGCGAAUGCUGACAUAAGUAACGAUAAAGCGGGUGAAAAGCCCGCUCGCCGGAAGACCAAGGGUUCCUGUCCAACGUUAAUCGGGGCAGGGUGAGUCGACCCCUAAGGCGAGGCCGAAAGGCGUAGUCGAUGGGAAACAGGUUAAUAUUCCUGUACUUGGUGUUACUGCGAAGGGGGGACGGAGAAGGCUAUGUUAGCCGGGCGACGGUUGUCCCGGUUUAAGCAUGUAGGCGGAGGUUCCAGGUAAAUCCGGUACCUUAUUAACGCUGAGGUGUGAUGACGAGGCACUACGGUGCUGAAGUAACAAAUGCCCUGCUUCCAGGAAAAGCCUCUAAGCAUCAGGUAACAUCAAAUCGUACCCCAAACCGACACAGGUGGUCAGGUAGAGAAUACCAAGGCGCUUGAGAGAACUCGGGUGAAGGAACUAGGCAAAAUGGUGCCGUAACUUCGGGAGAAGGCACGCUGAUAUGUAGGUGAAGCCCCUGCGGGUGGAGCUGAAAUCAGUCGAAGAUACCAGCUGGCUGCAACUGUUUAUUAAAAACACAGCACUGUGCAAACACGAAAGUGGACGUAUACGGUGUGACGCCUGCCCGGUGCCGGAAGGUUAAUUGAUGGGGUUAGCGGCAACGCGAAGCUCUUGAUCGAAGCCCCGGUAAACGGCGGCCGUAACUAUAACGGUCCUAAGGUAGCGAAAUUCCUUGUCGGGUAAGUUCCGACCUGCACGAAUGGCGUAAUGAUGGCCAGGCUGUCUCCACCCGAGACUCAGUGAAAUUGAACUCGCUGUGAAGAUGCAGUGUACCCGCGGCAAGACGGAAAGACCCCGUGAACCUUUACUAUAGCUUGACACUGAACACUGGUCCUUGAUGUGUAGGAUAGGUGGGAGGCUUUGAAGCGUGGACGCCAGUCUGCGUGGAGCCGUCCUUGAAAUACCACCCUUUAAUGGCUGGUGUUCUAACGUAGACCCGUGAUCCGGGUUGCGGACAGUGUCUGGUGGGUAGUUUGACUGGGGCGGUCUCCUCCCAAAGAGUAACGGAGGAGCACGAAGGUUAGCUAAUCCUGGUCGGACAUCAGGAGGUUAGUGCAAUGGCAUAAGCUAGCUUGACUGCGAGAGUGACGGCUCGAGCAGGUGCGAAAGCAGGUCAUAGUGAUCCGGUGGUUCUGAAUGGAAGGGCCAUCGCUCAACGGAUAAAAGGUACUCCGGGGAUAACAGGCUGAUACCGCCCAAGAGUUCAUAUCGACGGCGGUGUUUGGCACCUCGAUGUCGGCUCAUCACAUCCUGGGGCUGAAGUAGGUCCCAAGGGUAUGGCUGUUCGCCAUUUAAAGUGGUACGCGAGCUGGGUUUAGAACGUCGUGAGACAGUUCGGUCCCUAUCUGCCGUGGGCGCUGGAGAAUUGAGGGGGGCUGCUCCUAGUACGAGAGGACCGGAGUGGACGCAUCACUGGUGUUCGGGUUGUCAUGCCAAUGGCACUGCCCGGUAGCUAAAUGCGGAAAAGAUAAGUGCUGAAAGCAUCUAAGCACGAAACUUGCCCCGAGAUGAGUUCUCCCUGAGACUUUAAGUCUCCUGAAGGAACGUUGAAGACGACGACGUUGAUAGGUCGGGUGUGUAAGCGCAGCGAUGCGUUGAGCUAACCGAUACUAAUGAACCGUGAGGCUUAACCUUACAACGCCGAAG
rnacentral:rRNA from 1 species